UACGUAGGGUGCGAGCGUUGUCCGGAAUUAUUGGGCGUAAAGAGCUUGUAGGCGGUCUGUCGCGUCUGCUGUGAAAAUCCGGGGCUCAACCCCGGACUUGCAGUGGGUACGGGCAGACUAGAGUGUGGUAGGGGAGACUGGAAUUCCUGGUGUAGCGGUGAAAUGCGCAGAUAUCAGGAGGAACACCGAUGGCGAAGGCAGGUCUCUGGGCUACUACUGACGCUGAGAAGCGAAAGCAUGGGGAGCAAACAGG
rnacentral:rRNA from 1 species